ACGUAGGGUGCAAGCGUUAAUCGGAAUUACUGGGCGUAAAGCGUGCGCAGGCGGUUAUGUAAGUCAGCUGUGAAAUCCCCGGGCUUAACCUGGGAAUGGCAGUUGAGACUGCAUGGCUAGAGUGUGUCAGAGGGGGGUAGAAUUCCACGUGUAGCAGUGAAAUGCGUAGAGAUGUGGAGGAAUACCGAUGGCGAAGGCAGCCCCCUGGGAUAACACUGACGCUCAUGCACGAAAGCGUGGGGAGCAAACAGGAUUAGAUACCCUGGUAGUCCACGCCCUAAACGAUGUCUACUAGUUGUCGGGUCUUAAUUGACUUGGUAACGCAGCUAACGCGUGAAGUAGACCGCCUGGGGAGUACGGUCGCAAGAUUA
rnacentral:rRNA from 1 species